rnacentral:rRNA from 1 species
CCUACGGGAGGCUGCAGUGAGGAAUAUUGGUCAAUGGGCGUAAGCCUGAACCAGCCAAGUCGCGUGAGGGAUGAAGGUUCUAUGGGUCGUAAACCUCUUUUAUAAGGGAAUAAAGUGCGGGACGUGUCCCGUUUUGUAUGUACCUUAUGAAUAAGGAUCGGCUAACUCCGUGCCAGCAGCCGCGGUAAUACGGAGGAUCCGAGCGUUAUCCGGAUUUAUUGGGUUUAAAGGGUGCGUAGGCGGCUUUUUAAGUCAGCGGUGAAAGUCUGUGGCUCAACCAUAGAAUUGCAGUUGAUACUGGGAGGCUUGAGUAUAUUUGAGGCAGGCGGAAUGCGUGGUGUAGCGGUGAAAUGCUUAGAUAUCACGAAGAACCCCGAUUGCGAAGGCAGCCUGCUAAGCCAUGACUGACGCUGAUGCACGAAAGCGUGGGGAUCAAACAGGAUUAGAUACCCUUGUAGUC